rnacentral:rRNA from 1 species
UACGAAGGGGGCUAGCGUUGCUCGGAAUUACUGGGCGUAAAGGGCGCGUAGGCGGACAGUUUAGUCAGAGGUGAAAGCCCAGGGCUCAACCUUGGAAUUGCCUUUGAUACAGGCUGUCUUGAGUUCGGGAGAGGUGAGUGGAAUGCCGAGUGUAGAGGUGAAAUUCGUAGAUAUUCGGCGGAACACCAGUGGCGAAGGCGACUCACUGGCCCGAUACUGACGCUGAGGCGCGAAAGCGCGGGGAGCGAACGGG